GACGUCAAAUCAUCAUGCCCCUUAUGACCUGGGCUACACACGUGCUACAAUGGAUGGUACAAAGGGCUGCAAGACCGCGAGGUUUAGCCAAUCCCAUAAAACCAUUCUCAGUUCGGAUUGCAGGCUGCAACUCGCCUGCAUGAAGCCGGAAUCGCUAGUAAUCGCGGAUCAGCAUGCCGCGGUGAAUACGUUCCCGGGCCUUGUACACACCGCCCGUCACACCAUGAGAGUUUGUAACACCCGAAGUCGGUGGGGUAACCGUAAGGAGCCAGCCGCCUAAGGUGGGACAGAUGC
rnacentral:rRNA from 1 species